rnacentral:rRNA from 1 species
AAUGAACGCUGGCGGCGUGCUUUACACAUGCAAGUCGAGCGAGGCGUCCCGCAAGGGAUAGUCGAGCGGCGAACGGGUGAGUAACGCGUGGAUAACCUGCCCUGAGGUGUGGAACAACCAGGGGAAACUCUGGCUAAUACCGCAUGAUAUCGAGAGAUCAAAGGGGGCUCGCAAGGGCUCUCGCCACAGGAGGGGUCCGCGUCCGAUUAGCUAGUUGGUAGGGUAAUGGCCUACCAAGGCGACGAUCGGUAGCCGGCCUGAGAGGAUGAUCAGCCCCACUGGGACUGAGACACGGCCCAGACUCCUACGGGAGGCAGCAGUGGGGAAUAUUGGACAAUGGGCGCAAGCCUGAUCCAGCCAUGCCGCGUGGGUGAUGAAGGCCCUAGGGUUGUAAAGUCCUUUCGGCGGGGAAGAUAAUGACGGUACCCGCAGAAGAAGCCCCGGCUAAUUUCGUGCCAGCCGCCGCAGUAAAAC